UUAGCUCAUAUUUGUAUGGAAUGGGAUCGUUUGCGUACGUUUGCCGCUAGGGGCGCUGUUCCAACUGCAUACAAAAUUGGCUUA
rfam:Bombyx mori DNA, contig: Bm_scaf3_contig3358, strain: p50T/Dazao, build 2, whole genome shotgun sequence.